AGACGAAGGUGGCAAGCGUUGUUCGGUAUUACUGGGCUUAAAGCGUGUGUAGGCGGAAUGGUAAGCGUCUUGUGAAAUCCCUCAGCUUAACUGAGGAAUUGCUCGGCGAACUGCCUUUCUUGAGGCAAGUAGGGGUGCACGGAACUCUUGGUGGAGCGGUGGAAUGCGUAGAUAUCAAGAGGAACGCCAGCGGUGAAGACGGUGCACUGGGCUUGAUCUGACGCUGAGACACGAAAGCGUGGGGAGCAAACAGGAUUAGAAACCCGAGUAGUCC
rnacentral:rRNA from 1 species